rnacentral:misc_RNA from 1 species
CAUAGCAACUCCCCCACCUCCACCAAGCGUGGGGAGGGAGAGGAUGAUGGCCUCCCAUGCCUCACCAGGUGUGGAUGGCCUAAAUAAGGAGCCCUUGGUUACUAAAUGCCGCGGCGAUUGGUGGUAUACAAGGCAUUUGCCUAGGAAGCAUCGCGCCGGGCAACAAGUAGCCAGUGCGGUCUCGCAGGACCCUUAAUAAACCUUU